CAACGCCCUUUGCAGCAGUUUCGAGGUUAGGAAUCCAAUCGUUUUCUUCAAGGCCUUCGUGUAAAGGUGUGGAAAUGUCAAUCAAAAGUAUUGUGUUUUCAAUUUGAUUAGUAUAUAGAACCGUUGAUACAACUCCCUUUUCAGUUCCCCCAACACAUAUCUUCAGUCUGUGAAAAGCGACAAAAACGUUAAAAAUAGGUUUGGGCGUAGCAUAUAGAUGUUAUAGAUUAUAGAAGACCUAUAAGACCAAGAUAUAUUAUUCAGGUAAAUCAGUGUAUCGUCGAUGAAAAAUGUCAACGAGUACCAAUGACAUUAAUAGUUCUCCGACUAAAACGAAGAAACCUUCUGAUAGUGCAUUUAAACAGCAACGUUUACCAGCAUGGCAGCCAAUUUUAACAGCAGGUACUGUCUUGCCCACCUUCUUCGUGAUCGGCAUUGCUUUCAUCCCUGUUGGGAUUGGACUAUUAUACUUCUCCGAUGAAGUACGAGAGAUAACAAUAGACUACACGAAUUGUAAAUCAAAUAACAGUGCACGUGAUGGAGGAACAAAGUGUGCGGAGGUGAUAGCCAGGAACCCAGUACUCGCAUGUUUCUGCGAGUUAAAUAUCGAGCUUCCAACAGACUUUUUCGGCAAUGUCUACAUGUACUACGGCCUCACUAAUUUCUAUCAAAACCAUCGUAGAUAUGUUAAAUCUCGAGACGACAAUCAGCUUCUUGGAGAGCUGACGAGCAUCGUCUCCAGCGACUGCGAACCUUUUGCUUAUGCGGAAUCGAACACUAGCAAAAUCCCAGUGGUCCCUUGUGGUGCUAUUGCCAAUUCUCUUUUCAACGAUGAACUAUCCUUAUUCUCUCUUAAAAACAACGCUUCUGUUCCAUUGUUGAGAACCGGGAUUGCUUGGCCCUCUGAUAAGAAAAUCAAGUUCAAAAAUCCACAUGGAAAUCUCACUGAAGUGUUCAAAAAUUAUGCCAAGCCUAAAAAUUGGAAUAAGACCAUUUACGAACUUGAUCCUGAAAACGACGACAACAAUGGGUUCCAGAAUGAGGAUCUUAUUGUCUGGAUGAGAACUGCAGCACUGCCUACUUUCAGGAAACUAUAUCGGCGAAUUGAUCACACGAAACCUGGAUUCAGAGAUGGAUUGGCUGCUGGGAAUUACACUUUGUCUGUAAAGUACUCAUUUUCUGUCACUGCCUUUGAGGGAACAAAGCGAAUGAUUUUGAGUACCACUUCUCUUUUGGGAGGCAAAAAUCCCUUCCUUGGAAUUGCUUAUAUAGUUGUGGGAUGCGUCUGUUUAGUUUUGGGAAUGGCGCUCUUGGUCAUCCACAUCAAGUGUUCAAAAAGGUUGAAAGAUUUCCUAGUUAUUAUGUAAAGCUACAAUUCCUUAAUCAGAGAAUGGGACAAGAUUCGAACCCUACAAUUUCUCUGCAAUUCACUUAUUAAAUAAACUUUAAUAGUCAAGAGUUUAGAAAACGCAUUUGAGCAAACUAAUCUAAUGAAGGGCUGAGGAAGUAUGAAUUAGUCUUUCUAAUUUUCUCUCAGAUGCAGAAAAAUGUCUUCAACUUCAUAAAUAAAUUAGAUGAAAAAUAGACGAGACCUUUGCCUUCUCAAUAAACCAAACACCAACGAUUUGAUCAACGUAAACCUAUCUACACCCUAUCGAUGAAAUUACCGUGUGGAACGUCUCUAAUCAGUUUUUCAAGGUGAAAUAUAACUCGUCGUCUAAGUUGAAAAUGUAAAUUUAAUCUUCAGUGAUUAAUUAUAUGUCUUAGUACAUUUACGAAGAAUGAUGACAAAUUUGGUUUGUUUGAUAAAAAAAACAUGUACAUGUUCAAAUCCGGCAAAUGUAGUUAAAAUUACAUUUUCCAAGUAACACAAUUUUUGUUACAUUUUUAUAUUUGAUAAAUAAUUUUUCUUUUUAAAGUUUAGAAUUUAAAGAAACUUUAAAUGCUGGACUUGAACGUAACCUAAGCGCCUUUUUAUGUCAGUAAACUACGUGUGCUUUUAUUUUUAACCGGAGUGUUAAAUGUUAGAUGGACUGCACAAAUUAUUAUUAUUAAUUCAACACCUCAUGAAGAAUUAUUUCUAUUUACUUUUUAAUAAUUUUUUGAAAACCCUCGACAUUUUCUCUAGAAAGAUGAAUCGCUUCCUGAUUUUUUAAAUGAAAUUACAGAGAGGCUUUGUUUUUAGUUUAAUUUAAAAAGAGUCUUCGUGUGAUUUUUUGCCGAAACGACGUAAAAUUACUUUAUAGAGGAAAAUGUUCGCGAAUUGACAAAACUGUUUGUUAAGGAUUCAUAAUGAUUUUUUUCGAUCGGCAACAAAUUUUCUCAUUGCAUGAAAGUCAAUAAUUGAUAUUCUAUUCAUUUUUUAGAAUAUAGUCCAUGACAUCAAUAAUUUCACUGAUAAAAUGUCACUGCUUAAAUCACUAUUUAAAAAUUCAAGGACUCGACAGGCAGUUCAGCUGUGUUGAUUUUCUUUUUUACGAAUUUAAAGGGAAUAGCCGGGAGACGCUUUUGUCUAAUUAAUUGUAAGUCGACGAGAGAAAAAACACCUGCACUGGCUGCAGAUGUUAUCUGUAUUAUAAAAUAUAUUGUUACAUGGUAUAAUAAUUAUAUAAUUAUAGUAUUUAUUUAAGUCGAGCAGUGUCACUAUAUAGUUUUACAUUAUAUUAAUGUACACAUAAUUUAACAGUUACUGCUAGAAUUUUAUUUUCUAAUUAUGCAUUUAUAUAUCUACGUGAUUUUGUGAAUUUAUAUAACUACAUUUUCGUAAUACAUGUCCUUUUUUAAAAGAAAAUUUCAAAUGAAAUAUCAAAUAUAUGCGAAAUAAUUCUCGUCAUUAAGGUUUCAAUAUAUAUAAAUGUAUUUUUAUGCACAAAAUAAAACUUUAAUCCAGGAAU